UGGGGAAUCGUCUAAUGGCAGGACACCGGUUUCUGAUUCCGUAUGUUUAGGUUCGACUCCUAAUUCCCCAGCCA
rnacentral:tRNA from 1 species